rnacentral:lncRNA from 1 species
GUCACGUCCCCAGGCUGGGGUCUGGGGUGCUUGCUGCCUAGUGCUCCUAUCCCCUGGCUGGAAGCGCGGUCUGGUGUUUGUGUUCCUGGCUGGGGGUGCCGUUAGGUGAUCAUGUUCCUGGCUGUUGAUGGCGGAGUUCUUGGGGGUGGGACUGGCCGGCCUGGUCGGUGGGUGGCUCACAGCAAGAAUGCUCCUGUGUAAGUCGGUAGCAUUGAGGCUCCUACCCCUGCUUCUGUCCUGCAGGGUCAGUUCUGUGCUUAAUCGCAACAGCCGGCAAUUUGGAAAGAAACAUCUUUUUGACCAGGAUGAAGAGACGUGCUGGAACUCUGACCAGGGCCCCUGCCAGUGGGUGUCACUCGAGUUUCCCCAGCGUGUUCAGAUCACACAGCUGCAGGUGCAGUUCCA